rnacentral:tRNA from 1 species
AGUGGCGGAAUUGGUAGACGCACCAGAUUUAGGUUCUGGCGCCGUAAGGUGUGAGAGUUCAAGUCUCUCCUUCCGCACCA